CUCGUCCGCCCCGUGGACGCUCCGACCAUCAGGUCCCGGUCCCGGCUACCCUGGCGGCGUGCGCCGUGCACGGGAAGUCCUCGAUGGACACAUUCCGGCUACGACGCAAAGCCGACAGCCGUCGCAUUCGAGGGAGCCCUUCCAUG
rnacentral:sRNA from 1 species